rnacentral:rRNA from 1 species
UACAGAGGGUGCAAGCGUUGUUCGGAAUUAUUGGGCGUAAAGCGCGUGUAGGCGGCUUGGUAAGUCGGAUGUGAAAUCUCCAAGCUCAACUUGGAGCGGUCAUUCGAUACUGGCGUGACUUGAGUACGGUAGGGGACCACGGAAUUCCUGGUGUAGCGGCGAAAUGCACAGAUAUCAGGAGAAACACCGGUGGCGAAGGCGGUGGUCUGGGCCGUAACUGACGCUGAGGCGCGAAAGCGUGGGGAGCAAACGGG